rnacentral:rRNA from 1 species
UACGUAGGGUGCGAGCGUUAAUCGGAAUUACUGGGCGUAAAGUGUGCGCAGGUGGCCGCGCAAGUCGAGUGUGAAAUCCCCGAGCUUAACUUGGGAAUUGCGCUCGAAACUACGUGGCUCGAGUGUGGCAGAGGAAGGUGGAAUUCCACGUGUAGCGGUGAAAUGCUUAGAGAUGUGGAGGAACACCGAUGGCGAAGGCAGCCUUCUGGGCCAACACUGACGCUCAUGCACGAAAGCGUGGGGAGCAAACAGG